UGGUGGAGUGAUUUGUCUGGUUAAUUCCGAUAACGAACGAGACCUCAACCUACUAAAUAGUUACUUGAAUGGGUUUCCAUUCAAGGCUAACUUCUUAGGGGGACUAUCGUGGUUUACACGAUGGAAGCUUGAGGCAAUAACA
rnacentral:rRNA from 1 species